UUCCGGUUGAUCCCGCCGGACCUGACUGCUAUCGGAUUGAUACUAAGCCAUGCGAGUCAUUGUAGUAAUACAAGGCAGACGGCUCAGUAACGCGUAGUCAACCUACCCUAUGGACGGGGAUAACCUCGGGAAACUGAGAAUAAUACCCGAUAGAACAUUAUACCUGGAAUGGUUUAUGUUUCAAAUAAUUUAUUGCCGUAGGAUGGGACUGCGGCCUAUCAGUUUGUUGGUGAGGUAAUGGCCCACCAAGACUAUUACAGGUACGGGCUCUGAGAGGAGUAGCCCGGAGAUGGGUACUGAGACACGGACCCAGGCCCUAUGGGGCGCAGCAGGCGAGAAAACUUUGCAAUGUGCGAAAGCACGACAAGGUUAAUCCGAGUGGUUUCUGCUAAAGGAACCUUUUGUCAGUCCUAGAAACACUGGUGAAUAAGGGGUGGGCAAGUUCUGGUGUCAGCCGCCGCGGUAAAACCAGCACCUCAAGUGGUCAGGAUGAUUAUUGGGCCUAAAGCAUCCGUAGCCUGCUUUGUUAGUUUUCGGUUAAAUCCAUACGCUUAACGUAUGGGCUGCCGGGAAUACUGCAAAGCUAGGGAGUGGGAGAGGUAGACGGUACUCGGUAGGAAGGGGUAAAAUCCUUUGAUCUAUUGAUGACCACCUGUGGCGAAGGCGGUCUACCAGAACACGUCCGACGGUGAGGGAUGAAAGCUGGGGGAGCAAACCGGAUUAGAUACCCGGGUAGUCCCAGCUGUAAACUAUGCAAACUCGGUGAUGCAUUGGCUUGAUGCCAAUGCAGUGCCGCAGGAAGCCGUUAAGUUUGCCGCCUGGGAAGUACGUACGCAAGUAUGAAACUUAAAGGAAUUGGCGGGGGAGCACACAAGGGUGAAGCCUGCGUUCAUUGGAUUCACGCGGA
rnacentral:rRNA from 1 species